rnacentral:rRNA from 1 species
AAGAGACAGCAGUCGCCGCGGUAAUACGAAGGGUGCAAGCGUUAAUCGGAAUUACUGGGCGUAAAGCGUGCGCAGGCGGUUCGGAAAGAAAGAUGUGAAAUCCCAGGGCUCAACCUUGGAACUGCAUUUUUAACUACCGGACUAGAGUAUGUCAGAGGGAGGUGGAAUUCCACGUGUAGCAGUGAAAUGCGUAGAUAUGUGGAGGAACACCGAUGGCGAAGGCAGCCUCCUGGGAUAAUACUGACGCUCAUGCACGAAAGCGUGGGGAGCAAACAGGAUUAGAUACCCCCGUAGUCCCUGUCUCUUAUAC